UAUAUAUAUAAAAUGGAGAUACACACGCUCGGUGUGUGGCGGGUGUGCAAAUGGAACACAUCAUUCCUGGAUGAGGAAAGCAAAAAGUUUACAACGUGAAUGUAAAAUUAGGUAAAGUAAGAUAAGAAGAUCAGUAAAGAGAAGAAUUAAUUGUCAUUUCUAAAUUUGAGGUUCUGCAGUUUGUUUGGAUGGUGAUUCCCAGGCAGUGCCAGUCCCAAGCCAGCAUAAAUAUUAUCUGGGUUGUGUCAGGAAAUCCGACGUAAAAAUUGUGCCAAACAAAUCAUGCGAGUGUCUCACGGUGGCGACCACUCACAGAAAAGCCAAAAGUUACAACAUAAUUCAUUUAAUUAUUAUCGAUGAACUAACUAUUGCGUCCUACACAAAAUCAUAAAAAUAUAAGCCUUUAUGGAGGUAUUUUUUAUAUUCAUGUGUUAUUUUAUUGACCAUAAAAUUUAUUGAUUUAAAUGAAAUGAAUUUCAAUACUUAAUUAAUAUAUUUUAAUGAAACACUAUUCAGGGGGUGACAGCUAAAAUAAUGCGACAAAUAUGGACUCUUGAACAUGUACUGUCAAUGCUCAGUGCGCUGGAUUGAUAGAAGGUGUGGGUUGUACAGCUUUUAGCCUGUGUCCUACAUACCGGUACUUUACCCACCUCUGCUCUCAAGUGACUUCUACAUGACGAGUGGCACUUCAGGAGCGUUACAAGAAAAAGUGCCUUGCUUUGAGAGCAACUUUUAAGUAAGGGGAGCAAGAUAAGCCUCUUUCACACACAGAUGCCACAAAAGAGGAGCAUCCAAGCCAGAAGAGAAGAUCAUGCUUGCUUUUCACACAGAAACCAGCAAAGCAGGAUAUUGAAAGGAUUGUCUUUGCAUUCACAGUAACACGGCAUCCACUCACAAAAAUAAAGAUGACAUUUUUCAGUGCACUUCUUCAAGUUUAAUGAUUGAAAUUCAAAUAUAAAUUAUUCAGAUUCAGUUUCUGGUGGCACAUAUUGAGCAUAUAGCCAUCUUUUUGAACGGUAACAAAUUGCUUUCAACGGAGCAGGGAGUAAAAGUCAAUAUUGAGUUUAAAGCUUCACACCCUUGCGGCUCUGAUGCAACCUUCAACAUGGAAUAUUCAUGGGACACCUUUUGCAGAAAAGGGAUUUUUGUGGAGGAGUGACUUUUUCUGUCCUUUAAGGCAGAGGUCCCCAAUCGUCGGUCCACGGACCGGUAUCGGUCCGCAGGGCAUUUGGUACCGGGCCGCACAGAAAGAACUUGCCUUAAUUCCGUUUUAUUUAUUUCGGAAUACGAAAGAUGUUUUAUUUUGAAAAAUUACCGGAUUCUUCGUUACAUCCGUCUGUGUCACGCUUGACACACGUCAAACCACGCUUCCGCGUCACGUGACCUAUUACGCUUAAAAAAACGACUGCUGGAGAUCGCAAAUGACGGUGGCCUUAAAAACAACGUUCGAGACAACUGGAUUAAAGUUAUGGUUGAAUAUUCUGAGAUCGCCACAAUAGCACUGUUGCUAUUUCCGACAUGCUACCUGUAUGAGGCGGGGGUUUUCUGCAGCUAUGGUGACUAAAACAAAAUUACGAAGUAGACUGGACAUAAAACACACACCUGAAGUGUCAUUAUCUCCUACUACCACGAGAUGGGACCGUCUGGUUGCAGAAAAUCAAGCUCGGGGCUGUGUUUCUGCCUAUCAUCGAACCCUUCAUUGCUGAGUGAAUGGAGCAAACACGGCGUGUCAUCAUUCUAAUGCAUUUAAAAUGGCUAACAGCACAAGCAUUUUCGCAUCAUCUACUGUCAAGAUUUUCCUUCCAGAGUACUCCAGUAUAGUUGAACAAGCUUAUACUAAUGUACAUUUUGUGACUUCUAGAGUAUGCCUAGUAACAUAUCAGCAAAUAUCCAGAAGCCUCAUGCAUUUCAAAAGUGUACACUACUGUAUAUGGUUAUUGGUUAAUAUAAUGUACAGGUGUAGAGAUAUUUUUAAGUUGCAUUGUUGAGUCACUCAUUUUCAAAGUGCAUUCUGAAGGACAUUUAUUUUUCCAAUAAUAAAAAAGCUCAGUGGGUUGUUUCAUUUGUCACGGUGUCAGAAGAAAUGAUUCAUCAAGUUCCAACUGACUGAAUCAUCGUCACCUAUGUACUGGUGGUUGUGGAAAAUAAAAUCGCCACAUAAACCUAACAUAUUGUUUCUUAUGCUAGUGGUCCUCAAACAGCAGUCAGCGACCCCCCAACCCCUGUCCACAAACCAAUUUGCAGAUUACUGCAUAUUACUUUUGAGCAAAAUGCAACAAUCUUGCAACCAGGCAUUUAAAGAUCAUCAAUUCAUAAAAUGGGUCAUGUGCAGUUAUGUCACUCGUGAACGGCAAUGUGUCCUCAGUGUGUGGAAAGAAGACUUAUCAGGAUUUGUGUUAAAGAUUUGCCACUCAAUGAUGUGCCUUGAUGAGAGCCCCCCCACAGGAGGAUGAGUUUCAUUUCAUUGUUACGUGUUCGGGGGGACAAGUUGGUAGCCGAAUGGACUUCAAGGUUCUCGUAUCAGUAGACAGUUUGACUUCAUUUAAGUCUGCAUUACAAAUUUCCAUUAUUGUUGAGAUGGAUGAAACUUGUUUUUAGUUGAGGCAACAUGUCCCUGCAGAACAUUUAUUGUAAAUAAAAUACAGAAUAAAGGCCUUGCCAAUGGAAACAAAAUAGUCUUGUCAUUUUUUUUGUACUUUGAGAGUAGUUGAGGAUUUACUAUCAAAACUAAGUGAAGAAAGUGAUCAAUUAAAACACACAAUGAGCACUUAUAAUGGGUUAUUUUUUAUUGUUAUAAAAAAGACAAACCUAGAGCAAGAGCCUCCAGAUUUUUGAUCAUGAAUUUCAUGAAGUUGAAAUGUGAUAUUGUACCUCAUUUCCAACUUUAGUGAAAAGUACUCAACCCAAAUAUCCCACCCUUCUUCCCCCGAUUAGCACCACCAUCAUCAUCAUCAUCUACUUCGAUCCGGUGGACAGCAGAGCAAUGAGUCCGGAGGAUGCCCCAAUUGACAAGAUGUAGUUGCUGGGAGGGAAAGUGUGUUAAGGCAAAAGCUUCCCUUAUUGUUUGUUGCAAAUGAAAGAUUUUCUGGAACCAUAUGUGCAGGGUGAUAAAGGAUACACGGCAGGAUUGAAGUUCUUGAGCAGGAAGAAGGAAGCGAUGAUGACAAGCACCAGGAAGAGGGUGUUGUUGUAGAAGAUGGAGAAUGUGGUAGCCUCGUAGUCAGCAACCUCAUUCUUCUUCCACAGGAUCCUGAGGCAACAGGAAAAAAAGCAGCUUAAGUAAUGUGAGAAAAGGACAAUAUGCUGUGUGCUUUAUUGUAUAUUAAAAAUGUAUAUAUUUGAAGUCAUCAGCAGUUCCCCUUUCGUCAUCAGCUUUUCACCUCUCGUCCUUCUCCUUGCGGGACAUCUUGCGAUUGUCGGCCUCAGACAGCUUCCUGGUCACCUCCUUGGAAACGGCAUCCUCGCGUUUCUGAGCAACUCUGGAAGGAAUUGGAGGGGUGACAAGAAUUGGUGAGUGAUUGACUUGAGUAUCAUAGGGGAAUUAUAAAACAUCAGCUGUAGAAAAGAGGAGCAGGGGAGUUUGAAACUAUUUCAGUUUCAAUAUCAGUGAAGGCUGUCCAAAACAAACUAACAGUCCUAAACUGGGUUUCAGCCAAUUCACUGUAUAGGGUGUCCCCACAUGAGCAACUGACAGCAAAGAUGGCAUUUUUGCAUCAUGUUCACAUAGUAAGAACUGGAUAUUUAGUUAAUACUGUGGUUGAAUAGAAUAUCAGUGACGUAUCAAGACGUUCCGUCAGCCCAUCUUACUUGUGCUUGAGAACAAACUUGACAUUCUUGUAUGCAAAAGCCACCAGGUAGGUGCUGGCUAGAGUCAUCACAGUGUACAGGAACGCAGACUGGACCAGAUCCAUAUGCCAAAUCCUCCAGAACAGCCCUAGAGACAAACGAGAACCAAAUGAUACGUCCCACAGGUUACAGUGAGCUUCGUUACGUUUGGAAAAUUGGAAUGUAUCCAUUGUGAGACAAAUGAAGGUUUUCUUUACUUAAUGGCAUCCCCUGUAGCAGCACAGCUAUGCUAACAUUAGCCAAAAACACUUUAUCUCUCUUUUGGCUGAUUACUAAUCAUAUUUCUUGUAGUUUAGGCACCGUAUCCGACGUCUUUUCGUUCCACCGUGACGCUUGACAGCGUGGCAGAGUUGCAGAAAGCAAUUGACCGCAGCGAAGUACUCACAGAUAGGGAUGGCAGAAACAAUGAGAGCAUUGGCGUAGAAUAGCGCGGUGGACUUUGUCGAGAGGUUUCUGCUGAAGUCCUGGAGGAGAAGGUCUUCCUCUGACUGCUGUUUGCUGGUGACUUUAGGCGGCAUAACUGCGAGAAGUGACUGAGAGUCCUGGUUGACUGCUCGGCUAACGACAGAA